UGUCUUUCCGGGAGGCAGCCUGACCUCUCAUGUUUUCUCUUCCCUCCUUGGUUCUCUGCCUUCUCAGGACUCACCCUGCCCCAGGAGAGGAACCUGGAGGACUCAUGGGUCCUUGCUAUUCUGAAAGCCAUGGCCUAGGUUUUUCUAUAUCCAAGCCAAAUGUCAUCUCCUUACUGGAACAAGGGAAGGAACCCUGGUUGGCAGAAAGAGAUGUGACAGGAAGCCUGUGCCAGUGCCUCCGAAACCGGAGCAGAUUUGUCCCCUCAUCCGCCUCCACCCGAGCCCGCAACAGGAGCAAGGAGUUCGGUCCAUCUCCAGCUGCUUAUGGAGAACGAGUCAGGGAAGGACGGAGGAUGCCUAGCUUAUAGCUAGUCUUCCUUUCCAAUAGUCCAAGGCUUCAUUAAAUCCUCACACGAUGCUGAUUCACAACGGUUUCAAUCACCUCUAACCGCCCUGCACGGUCCUCUCCAGAUACACCUCCACUGCACCCUCUGCUUGUACCAGUAUCACAGAAAGCCAACACUUAGGAAAUUUUACGGUAUUGAACAUGGAAUGAGAGGAUCGGAGCCCCGGCCGCCCCCGCCCAAGCCUCAUACCUGACCUGGCAACACGCGGAGUGGUGUAAACACCACCAAAAGAACGAGAGGAGACCAAGCACCCGACCAAGGUCUCCCAGCUUCCGGGCCGACCGGAAGCGCUGCUUCAUAGCCCGUCACCUUGAGCUUGCCGCGGUGGCUUCUGGGAGUCCUCUAAGCUGUGUUGUGCGCAUGCGUGCCUCCACCGCCGUGGUUCCCGGAGUCCUGAACGCCCCGGGGUCCUGGCCAGCCAGAGGCCGACCUUCAGUAGCGAAGGGCGGAUGUAGAACCGGGAGUGCCUGAAUUGGUAAACGAGCCAGAAGCGCUCAUCCAAAAAAGGGUGGUCUCUUCUCCCCGUGUCUCGGGACUGGCAUAGGUUGUGGGGGGAACGUUGUCGUGGAUGAGAACGCGCAUGCGUAGUGGCGACAGCGGAGGCGGGGCCUCAGCUCACUGUGUCUCCGGUGUGGAACGCGGUCGCGGGUGUUGGAAC